UACGGAGGAUCCAAGCGUUAUCCGGAAUCAUUGGGUUUAAAGGGUCCGUAGGCGGCUAUAUAAGUCAGCGGUGAAAGUUUUUGGCUUAACCAAAAAAUUGCCGUUGAUACUGUAUUGCUUGAAUUUUUGUGAAGUAACUAGAAUAUGUAGUGUAGCGGUGAAAUGCUUAGAUAUUACAUGGAAUACCAAUUGCGAAGGCAGGUUACUAACAAACGAUUGACGCUGAUGGACGAAAGCGUGGGUAGCGAACAGGAUUAGAUACCCUGGUAGUCCACGCCGUAAACGAUGGAUACUAGUUGUUGGAUUUUCGGAUUCAGUGACUAAGCGAAAGUGAUAAGUAUCCCACCUGGGGAGUACGAACGCAAGUUUGAA
rnacentral:rRNA from 1 species